UCUCUUUUCCUUUUCUUUUAAUUUGAUUAAAAAUACCCAAACCCUUCCCUUCUCCCUCACUUCGAUUGAAACCAAAAAUCAGCCAAACCACACUCCUCAAUUGAACACAUCAAAAUCCAAGAACACCUUCUUCCUUCUCGCCGUUUCCUCUGAAAAUGGUUGAUUUCUUGCUUGAAUUCUGCUACAGUUGACCAACCUUCUUCCUCAUUCAAUCCAUUGAUUUUCGAGUGCAAUCCUUGUAAUCUUGAUCUGAAUUUUCAAAGAAUGCAGCCCUAAUUAUAGCCUCCUUCUCUGAAGCUUUCCUUCGAAAAACAGCAAUGGCAAGAUCCGCAUCUUCUUCUUCCUCUCGCUAAAACUCAGAAGCAACAACUGCAUCCUUCUUGAAGAACCCAGCAACAAACAACGAAUCUACCCUCAAGAAAGUCAAAUCAAGUGCAGCAGCCAUGGCCGCCUUCUUCACCUCGAUUCUCUGAACAACACAAUAACAAUAUUCCUUCUUGCCUUCGAUUUUCGAAGAAAUAAGGGGUAGUUGGGUUCCCUUUGAUUGCUGGGGCGUGAAUUUGAAGCAAACAAUCAACUUCUUGUUCUUCCUUUGAAAUAGACGCCUAAUUCUUCCUGCAAAUUAUGGUAUUGGGAUAGAGACUACUAUAGGAGGACACGAAGACGAGAAGAUAAUGAAGGCAUGAACUUCAUUGAGUCUGUGAGUGAAAUUAUCAUUUUGAUGCUGCUUGACAAUGUUCCAAUCAUGAAGAUGUUGAUUAAAAUUUUUUGGGGGGAUUAAGCAUUGAAACUAUUUGAUAUGAUUGCUUCGCUGUAGUUCUUCUCAUUUUUUUUUGGAGACGGUGAUCCAAAUCAAGGAAUUGAAGAGAAGAGGUGGAAGCGGGUAAUGUUUGAGCAUUGAAAUUAGAUUGUUCUUUUCAAAUUGAAGCUGGUAAUGUUUAUUCAAGUUGAUUUGUAUGUUAUAUCAUAAGGUAAGUACUAUGCUGCAUAUAGUGGGAUUCGUAAUUCUAUAUUAGUGUAUGUUUGCUGUUCUCUUCUUGAGUUUGUUCAAAAUAAGACGGAAAAGUAUUAGAAUACGAGGUAGCUAAUUAAGUACGUUAUUUCAUGAGUUAUGUACUAUGCUUAUGUGCUGCAUAUAGUAGGAUCCAUAAUUCUGUAUUGGUGUAUGUUUGCUGUUCUCUUUUCGAGUUUGUCCAAAAUAAAACUAAAAAAUAAUAGAAUAUGAGGUAGCUAAUAAGUUAAGACCAUUUAAGCUCUCUUACAGGUCAUUAGUUUCAUGGGUUAGUUUGAAAGGCGGGGCUUCAACAAAGUACUUUACAUGUUUAUUGCUUGGAGAGUUUUGAAUGGAUGUUUUGCUUAUUUUGCAGUAUAUGAUGCAACAGUGCAUUCACCUUAGGAUAUAUAUUGAUGAUAGGAUGGGUUUCAUUUGAUUGCUUAAUGGUUUUACAUGAGAUCAAGUUUUUCGGGGUAGCAAGCUCAACUCUUCAAGACUUAAAGAUGAGGAUGAUGAUAACGUUCAGGAUGAUGUAUGCAAAGCAGUCAUCCCUUGGGUACCUUCUCAUACACUCAACCCAUUACCAGAAAUACAAACGGAGGUGUCAGAUUCAAUGGAAGCAGAUGAAAUUGAAGCAUCAACUAUGGAGAUUGAGAGUGCAAAGUGCCUAUCACUUGUAAAUUUUUGCAUGAAAACUUGUAUAUGGUAGGAGAAUUAUUUUGGAAAAUUGGUUAUACGUUACAUGUAUAUGAAUUACGUAUGUUUUUGACACACGAUAAUAUUUGGGACGUGUGAUGUUUUGGGAUACGAAUUAAUAUAUAAUGAUAAUCGGUGAUA